GAGUUUGAUCGUGGCUCAGAUUGAACGCUGGCGGCAGGCCUAACACAUGCAAGUCGAGCGGUAGAGAGAAGCUUGCUUCUCUUGAGAGCGGCGGACGGGUGAGUAAUGCCUAGGAAUCUGCCUGGUAGUGGGGGAUAACGCUCGGAAACGGACGCUAAUACCGCAUACGUCCUACGGGAGAAAGCAGGGGACCUUCGGGCCUUGCGCUAUCAGAUGAGCCUAGGUCGGAUUAGCUAGUUGGUGAGGUAAUGGCUCACCAAGGCGACGAUCCGUAACUGGUCUGAGAGGAUGAUCAGUCACACUGGAACUGAGACACGGUCCAGACU
rnacentral:rRNA from 1 species